CUUGAAAGAAACAACAAAUUUCAGGCUUGAUUUGAACAGCCAAGUGAACAUUUUGAGAAUUUCCAGGAAAAAUUACUUCUUACUAUAUUGCUUUGGAAACGAUUACAACUAGUGUGCAUUUAUUUAAUUUUGAAGAAAUUAAGGACAGCAAACCAAUCCAUGGCCAGUAAUAGCUGAAGCAGUGGAAGUGUCCACCAGAGAAAGAAGUCAUGUGGGCAAAGUUAAAGACUGCAAAAGGGUCAGUCAUCAAAGUGCCUUCAAUCUACCUGUGGCAAUCCAAGAAGAAGGAAGACAGCUGGUAGACCACAAUCAGGGUGAGGAGUAGGAGGGGAGGAUGCCUUGUGAAGGGAGAAGCAGAAUCAUAUUAAAAAAUCACAGAAGCUACAGUCUUUUGAUGGAAAAUAGUGUUGCCAAGGAGGGAGUGAGAAAGCAGCUUGGUGGACACCCAGCAGCCAGCCAAGAUCAACCCACCAAGUCCUGUUAAGGAGGAAGAAUGAGAGCGGCUGUAUGGGUGUCUGGCUGCUGGGCCAGGUCAACCUACCACAGCGGUCUACCAAGAACUAAGGACAGACUGGACAGGAAAACAAAUUUAAAGAAGGGACUUGGAAGACUAUCAGGACAGCAUCUUUGAACUGAGAGACAAUCUGAGCCUGUUAUUUCAAAUGGAAGUAGCAGAGCCGGUGAGCCAUCCAAGAAUGAAGUGGUCCCUUCCGUCCUGCAGUUCAUGCAAGAAUGCUAAAAAACAGACAGAGAUAUGUGAAUAUGAAUACAUCACACAGAAAUCUG